rnacentral:rRNA from 1 species
CGUGUAGGCGGCCAGACAGGUCUACUGUGAAAACUCGAGGCUCAACCUCGAGAGGUCGGUGGAAACCGUCUGGCUAGAGUCCGGAAGAGGAGAGUGGAAUUCCCGGUGUAGCGGUGAAAUGCGCAGAUAUCGGGAAGAACACCCGUGGCGAAGGCGGCUCUCUGGGACGGUACUGACGCUGAGACGCGAAAGCGUGGGGAGCGAACA